rnacentral:rRNA from 1 species
GCAAGACGGAAAGACCCCGUGAACCUUUACUAUAGCUUGACACUGAACAUUGAGCCUUGAUGUGUAGGAUAGGUGGGAGGCUUUGAAGCGUGGACGCCAGUCUGCGUGGAGCCGACCUUGAAAUACCACCCUUUAAUGUUUGAUGUUCUAACGUGGACCCGUAAUCCGGGUUGCGGACAGUGUCUGGUGGGUAGUUUGACUGGGGCGGUCUCCUCCUAAAGAGUAACGGAGGAGCACGAAGGUUGGCUAAUCCUGGUCGGACAUCAGGAGGUUAGUGCAAUGGCAUAAGCCAGCUUGACUGCGAGCGUGACGGCGCGAGCAGGUGCGAAAGCAGGUCAUAGUGAUCCGGUGGUUCUGAAUGGAAGGGCCAUCGCUCAACGGAUAAAAGGUACUCCGGGGAUAACAGGCUGAUACCGCCCAAGAGUUCAUAUCGACGGCGGUGUUUGGCACCUCGAUGUCGGCUCAUCACAUCCUGGGGCUGAAGUAGGUCCCAAGGGUAUGGCUGUUCGCCAUUUAAAGUGGUACGCGAGCUGGGUUUAGAACGUCGUGAGACAGUUCGGUCCCUAUCUGCCGUGGGCGCUGGAGAACUGAGGGGGGCUGCUCCUAGUACGAGAGGACCGGAGUGGACGCAUCACUGGUGUUCGGGUUGUCAUGCCAAUGGCACUGCCCGGUAGCUAAAUGCGGAAGAGAUAAGUGCUGAAAGCAUCUAAGCACGAAACUUGCCCCGAG